ensembl:lncRNA
CGCAGGACUGGCUGGUACAGUAGGCAAUUCAACGCGGGAUUCACAAAGCGAUUUCUGUUGAAAGAUGGAUCAGUAUCCUGUUUAUUUGGACCAGCUGCUCCACUGAAUCACAACCCAAUGUCACAUCUGUCUCCAUGGCUGCGGAAAGCUCAUCUCUCCUAUGCUGAUCCGAGACCAGCCUCUCUAGAUGAACCCAAACAAGAGCCAUUGUGAAGGUAAUCUCAAAACCAGUCUGAGAUCAGGGUGAGAGAGUGACUUCCACCAAUACCAUCUCCAUAGCAGUAGAAAAAGGAUCAGCACAAGAAAGACCCUUGUCCUCGCAUAAAAAAAACUAGACUUCUUCGCAGAGCAAAAACAAACACUCCCA